rnacentral:rRNA from 1 species
AGUGAACGCUGGCGGUAGGCCUAACACAUGCAAGUCGAACGGCAGCACAGUAAGAGCUUGCUCUUACGGGUGGCGAGUGGCAGACGGGUGAGGAAUACAUCGGAAUCUACUUUUUCGUGGGGGAUAACGUAGGGAAACUUACGCUAAUACCGCAUACGACCUACGGGUGAAAGCAGGGGAUCUUCGGACCUUGCGCGAUUGAAUGAGCCGAUGUCGGAUUAGCUAGUUGGCGGGGUAAAGGCCCACCAAAGCGACGAUCCGUAGCUGGUCUGAGAGGAUGAUCAGCCACACUGGAACUGAGACACGGUCCAGACUCCUACGGGAGGCAGCAGUGGGGAAUAUUGGACAAUGGGCGCAAGCCUGAUCCAGCCAUACCGCGUGGGUGAAGAAGGCCUUCGGGUUGUAAAGCCCUUUUGUUGGGAAAGAAAAGCAGCAGGUUAAUACCCCGCUGUUCUGACGGUACCCAAAGAAUAAGCACCGGCUAACUUCGUG